GCAGGCGAGCGCGGUCAGCGGGUGCGGCAAGAGCUCUCCGCGGGGAAAGCAGCGAGGAGGGAACAUAAAGUCACAGCGCGAAGCCAGGGUUGUUUUUGGAAGAGGAAAGAUGUAAUCGACAAUCUGCUGUAAUGUGCGAGUUGGCCAGGAAGCGUUCGCCACCUCUCCUUUUGAUGGUGCUCCACAGUGCAGAAAGGGACAAAAGGCUCCUUGGUCUCCAAAUGGAAAACAGUGACCACAAGACUCCAGCUGAGUGGCUCAGGCAUUCGUUCGUGAGGAGCCUCAGUUCCAGUCUCUGCUCCAGCCUCCCUGGAUGUGAGGAGUUUCCGGGUUUUGUCCAGAACUCUGCCACGCAAGUACAACGUCCGGCCUGAGCUUAAAGAGUUGUGAGAGGAGCACCUGAGUGUCAUUGGUCGGAAUAAUCCUCCACGCGUCUGGAAGCAGCGAGAACACCGAGCCGCCGGAGAGCAGGCCAAGGCUGGUCGCCCUCCGUGAUGGGCAGCAGCGGAAAACCUUCAGCAGAAAGCGAAGAGUGAGGACAAACGUGAGAGGAAUCCACGGUGAGCAUCCGCAGAGCCUGCACCAUUGUCUCGUGGUUACACCACUGUGUGCAUCACUCGCCGGCCUCUUCGCAUCAGGUACAAAUCCAGCGUUUUGUCUGGGGUUCAUCACUAGCUAUAAGAAAGUUUUCUGCAUCCUGACUUUGGCACUGAGCUUUGUUUGGGGCGGGGGGAGGGUUGGGGUGGAAAGCCUCUCCUGCUACCAAAUUGUCUAUUCUAGGUCGAAAUCUGUGUUGCAGCUGAAAUGCUGACAAAAGCACAGAAUACAGAGCUGCUAAUACAAUGCUAUAGCAGCAAUUUGGUUUGCUAUCACACAGUAAAUAAGAGCUACCUGAUAUUCUUUGAUCAGCCUCUUUUCUUUCUGUUAUAAACUGAAUGUGUUGACAAAUUAUGUCACCAAAAAGAAAUUCAAGUCUUUGAUGAAAUAAGAGGAAACAUGCACAUGCUGGAAGCUUUGAAAUGUGCUUAAAUAGAAUGGAAUGUGCUUUUUGCAUAGCUGCUGUCUUGCUCGAGGUGCCUGACAAAAGCUGGGUCAGGAUCUAGGCAACUCCCGGCCAACGUCCUCCUGCUGCAGGCCAGGAGCAGCCGCUGCGCGCUCCAAAGCAAUCCCCACUUGAGACAAGUGGUUUUAACCAGACCACGGGAGUUAUAGCCAGAUGUUGCUCAUUCUGCCAUAGGCUUUUUAACAGGCGCUUGGCACAGGUUCUAUACGUAGGUAGAAACGAAUGCUGCUUUAGAAGAAAGGCACCUCUGACAGAACCGCACUGUGCAAUGUCGAGUGGCGGUGAGGAAUUGGGAAGGUGUGAGAUUUGGAUCCGUGGCUUUCCGAUGAGCUGUGCAAAACUUCAGUAAUAACAUAACAGAGGUGCUUGAGGGGUUUGGCAAAGCUUAAUCGGAGUGCAAUUCGAGGCUUCAGUGAACUGUUUCCCAAAAUGUUACACAGAUCAAAUACUGCAGAAGACCCACUGAAAUGGAAACCGAAAGGCUUCCCCACCUCUGCUUUUUGAAAAACCUGAAGGUGCCAAGUCCAGUGAGGUAGCCUAGACAAGGAUGAGGUAUAAAGUUAGAGCGUAGACUGGGAUCUGAAUUUUUGCAGAGUCUGGAGCCACUUAGAGCCAAACUUUUAGUUUGCUCCAUGACAGAAUACGCGGCUGCCCCUUGCGUUCUCCCUGCUCCGAGCUUUCCUGAAGUGUAGGAAGAGCGAAGCUGGAGCUCUUAGUGAAGCCAUUUUUAGUUCCGAUGUAAAUAAAUCGCUCUGCAGACAAGCCCUCUGAAAGCUG
rnacentral:lncRNA from 1 species